rnacentral:rRNA from 1 species
GAUGAACGCUGGCGGCGUGCCUAAUACAUGCAAGUCGAGCGAACAGAUGAGGAGCUUGCUCCUCUGACGUUAGCGGCGGACGGGUGAGUAACACGUGGAUAACCUACCUAUAAGACUGGGAUAACUACGGGAAACCGGAGCUAAUACCGGAUAAUAUAUUGAACCGCAUGGUUCAAUAGUGAAAGACGGUUUUGCUGUCACUUAUAGAUGGAUCCGCGCCGCAUUAGCUAGUUGGUAAGGUAACGGCUUACCAAGGCAACGAUGCGUAGCCGACCUGAGAGGGUGAUCGGCCAUACUGGAACUGAGACACGGUCCAGACUCCUACGGGAGGCAGCAGUAGGGAAUCUUCCGCAAUGGGCGAAAGCCUGACGGAGCAACGCCGCGUGAGUGAUGAAGGUCUUCGGAUCGUAAAACUCUGUUAUUAGGGAAGAACAAAUGUGUAAGUAACUAUGCACGUCUUGACGGUACCUAAUCAGAAAGCCACGGCUAACUACGUG